GUUGAGGUAGCCAAGCCAGGCAUGGCGCGGGGUUGCUAACCCCGUGUCCCUUGGGACGCGGGGGUUCAAAUCCCUCCCUCAACG
rnacentral:tRNA from 1 species